CCUACGGGAGACAGCAGUGGGGAAUAUUGCACAAUGGGGGAAACUCUGAUGCAGCGACGCCGCGUGAGUGAAGAAGUCUUUCGGUAUGUAAAGCUCUAUCAGCAGGGAAGAAAAUGACGGUACCUGAUUAAGAAGCCCCGGCUCACUCCGUUCCAGCAGCAGCGGUAAUACGUAGGGGGCAAGCGUUAUCCGGAUUUACUGGGUGUAAAGGGAGCGUAGACGGCAGCACAAGUCUGGAGUGAAAUGCCGGGGCUUAACCCCGGAACUGCUUUGGAAACUGUGCAGCUAGAGAGCAGGAGAGGUAAGUGGAAUGCCUAGUGUAGCGGUGAAAUGCGUAGAGAUUAGGAGGAACACCAGUGGCGAAGGCGGCUUACUGGACUGUAACUGACGUUGAGGCUCGAAAGCGUGGGGAGCAAACAGGAUUAGAUACCCCAGUAGUC
rnacentral:rRNA from 1 species